ACUUAAGGAGUCCUAUCCUUCAAAUACUCCUUGCACCUCUAUGAUGACGUCCAAAAUCUAAAGGUAGACUCUUACUGAGUCUCACUUUAGAUUUUUGACUACAUUUCAAACUUUGCAUCCCUUCAACUGAAAGCAAAGUGUCUAUGUUCAAGUCUAUUUUCUGCAGACACCUGGGUGUCUUCAGGAGCAGCCGCAGUGAUCGACCACCAUGGAUGGGAUCUUUCCGUAGAUGAUCUGCUCUUUGCGGUUAAAGUAGAGCAUGUUGAUGGGUGACAUUUUGGUGGGUGUACAGCAGGGCCCUGCAGUGCCCCGUGGGUUGGCCUUGUUCACCAGGUGAGCAUGUGGGUACUGCUGCAGGUGCAUGAAUUCACACUCUCCUGAGCAAUAAUUUGCCCGGUAGCGUUUGGGUGCAAUGAUCCAGUCCCAUCCGAACUCCUCAAAGUCGACAGUGAGUGGGUAGCGGCAGCAACGGGUCUCUGCAGACUCCUCAUCACAGUUGAGGCCUGAGUCACGGCGUGAUCUCUUUGGGCUGUCCAGGAUCUUCACCUCUAUGAAUGGUUGCUGGGAAAUAAUUUAAAUAAUGUCAGCCACAAGGUUGGACUUCAUCUUAAAUGUAAUGAUUAAACUCACUCACCAGACCUUCCUCUCCAGGCUCUACUGAGGUGACAGCUAGAUCUUCUCCUUUGGAGUCAUAGGCAUUGAUCUCAAUGCCAUAGUUAGUCUCUGGUUGACGCAGCCACGCCUGCAGCAAAGACUUGAUGUCAAUGCUCUGCCAGGAGCCUGCACCGGCAUCAGUGUCUAUCCUCAGGGAGCGGACUCUCACUCUGGUGUUGUUCCCUUCCUUUCCUGGUUUCAGGCGGGAGAUCUGCAGGAAGACGGUGGUGACCAUGUCAGCCGGCCGCAGGUGGACCCACAGCUGAGCACGCAGGAUGUUUUUGGGUUGGAUCUUUGGACUGAGGCUGAAGAGACAGCAAGAGGACAACUCGUCCUGGGCAAUUGGAUUAGCUGGAAGAAAAGAAAAAAUUUACCCAAAAGCACCACCUGGUGAUGGAAGCUCUGCAGUACACUCAAACAUUGACAUUGCAUGAUGUUACAGCUGCUUAAAAACUGCCUUCACUGUGCAAUUAAAGUGAAAUUAAGGAAGGUGAAGGAACACACUGUAUGUGUUUUGGGUGGUUUAGAGUGGUCUGCUCCUCCCACCAACCAGCAUCCAGAGGAAACUGGUUCAGCUGCUUAUUUAUCAGCAAACCUCAAAUUAACCUGCUGGAAGUCCAGAGAGGAGCUGCGGCACAGAGCGGAGGCCAUGGGAAUUAUCAUCAGAUGCUCAGCCUGUUGAAAAGAGGACAGUUUGCUGCAAUGGGGGGUCAAGAGUCCAGAUUCUGGUUUUCAGCUUGCACAGGCAAACAGAAGGAGACUUUCAUCGACAAACAUGAAGGAGAAACAAAAGCAUUUCUGAAGGAGGUGAAAAACUCAACAUGUCCUGACGGCUCGGAGGAGACCUCACCAGCUGAUUGGAUGUCACCAGAGUUUCCUCCAGUCAGCAAACCAAUCCUGGAUCUGGCCCAGAAGAUGUCUGAGGAUAUCAUCGCUCAGGCUCUGCAGCUCUGCUGGGAGAUGGACAUUCAUUACAAAGACAUUCCUUUUGUUGACAUUGAGUGUGAAUAUAUGAUAUAAUCGGGGGUGUGGAAGAGUGUGGUCGACCCAUCGCAUUGGUUUGAGGCUAAAAAACAUGUCCUGAAGUUUGAAAAGCUUCACAUUACCUCUUGUUGCUACUCUGCCAACCAAAUGUGAUUCACUGAGUUUACUCAACACAAUUAAAAAGUGAAAUCUACUUCUUCAGUGCCUUUCAGUCAUGAGGGAUUCUAGCUCAGGAGGGUGUUUGGUGGUAGGACUUCCAGAAGUAAUAAUUUCCUGUGAGAAAAUAACAUGUGUGAGACACCUGUUCAACAGGGCGACCUUGUCAUUCAACAUGUUUACUGUGUAAGUUUCACAGCUCCUGUGUACAUGAAAACAGAACCAGAGGUAAGUCAGUCAGUGUUACCCUGCUCAGGCUUUCACGUCUGUUUUGGCAGCAAAGGAGGAAAAGAGUAAAGUCACACAUGGAGAGUUAUACCUGAGCAUUUG